GGACCAGAUGACCCACUGUGGUCCCUUCCAACCUUACCCGUUCUGUGAUUCCGUGACCUUCUGCUACUUGUAAGCUUGUAGCAUCCAUAACAUCUCACUGCAGGGAGUUCUGGCACAUUCACUGUAUGUAUGAACAAUCACUUUCCUUGCUUUCCUGACAUUUGGGACACUGUCUGAUGACCCACCCCUGCUUCUUGCUUUGGAAAGUAAGAAGUAAAACAAUUUUGCCUUCUCUGUGCCAGUCACCACUCUGUGGGCUCCAUAAGAUCCCCUUUCAGUCUGGUAAGGCUUCUCCUGCAAACUGACAAGUCCAAGUGAAAUCUUGUUCUUUCCAAGGAAGUGUUUGUUGUUAUUCUAUGAACUUUACCAUUUCUGCUAUUCCUGUUUGUAGUGGUGGGACUGGAACUGCAUAUAGCGUUCCUGACAGAAGCACAGUGGGUUUAUAAAGUGGCAUAACAAUAUUCCCUGCCUUGUUCUCAAUAUUGUCACUAAAUGUUUUUAGUAUUCAAUGUGGUGUUGAUCUCCGCUAAGCUGCUGUUGUUCUACAAAUAACAUUAAACUUCCCAGCUCUCACUCCUGCAGUUUGGUGGUCAGUUCAGACACCAUUAUUCCACAUGUGAUGUAGGACUGUCUUUUCGCCAUGUGCAUUAUUUUACAUGUGUCUGUCUUCACGAUCAUCAGUCGUUUUCCUGCCAGGCACUGAGGCCUGUGUUCAGUUGCUCCCAUGUGGGUGUCCAGCACUAUCCCAGAUGACACAGAGGGUCUGACUGAGGCUUCAGAGGAGCCUUGUGGGUCUCCAUCGAGUCCUGUGCCAGAGCCAAUAAGGUCUCUCCAAUGAGUGCGGGUGGUUGAGCCCCAAACAGUGAAAGGUCUUUCUGCAGUUCUCAGCCACACCUUUUCUUUCCCUCCAUGAAUAACACGAUACCAUCAGCAAUCUUUGUCUUGUCACUCCUUGCCUUAUUCAAAUUGUUUAUGAAUAAGCACAGAGAUGUGAAGGUGCAUUAGUGGCCUCUUACUGUGAAAACUGACCAUUUACUUAGUCUUUUAACUGCAUUUUAAUCCAUGCUGGGAUCUUCUCUCUUAUCCCAUGGUUGCUUAGUUUCCUUAACAGCCUUUGGCAAGAAAGUCUUGAAAGUGAUUCAGAAAUCUCAGGAAACUGUAUCUCUGCAAUCCCUCUUAUCCAAGUGCUUGCUGACACAUUCAGAAAACUUCAUACUGAGUGUAUAAGGCAAAACUUCUCUUUGGAAGAAAAAUGUCAACAAAACCCUUGUUGAUCUUUCCCUGGUAAAUCAUAUCUGUCCCUGUGUGCACUAAUAUAUACGUAUUUGUACUAGUCUGUGCAAAAUAGGCAUCAGUUUUAAUGGUCUGUAGUUCCCAUCUUUCCCCUAGAAACAAUUCUAAGAAAUAAUGUAACAUUUUAUACAAUCCACUUCUUAGAUGCCAAGAAAGUUUUAAGCAAGAAUUUAUACCACUAUUAACAUUUCAGUUACUGCAUCCUUGAGAUUCCUGGAUGAACAGAAUCUGUUGAGAAUCUGUCACUGUUCAUUUUGUGUAUUCUUAACUCAUGAACCUCUUUGUAAGUCAUCAACUCAUUUUGAAACAGAUCAGGGAGAAGUCCAAUGAUGAAGUGUUCCAGCAGCAGAACACAGACUCAGGAAGUUGUCUUGGGUUUUCCACCAUGGCCUUAACAUCUCCCAGUACUAUUUUUGUAGCUGGUUCACUUGAUGGGUUUUAGCUUCUGGCACCUGGUACACUAAGAAUAUUGAAACAGUAUCAGAUCCUCUUGAAAAUGAUUUAUUAAUGGGCUUUAUGCAUUUUAUGACUUCGAUGUAAUUCAUGAGAUCUAUCAUAAUGCUCUGAAUUGGAGAUUUCAUAGGGGGGGGUUGUGUCUUAUUCCUUUGUAUGAGAUUAUUCCAUGCUUGUGCUUAAUCUUCUUACCUCUUUCUGGUCUUGGUUGGUUUUUUUCAGAUAUAAUAUACCCAUUCUGAAGUAUAUAAUAUAUAAUUUUUCUCUACCCAUUUCUUGAUUCUAGUGACUUUCCUAUUUUUUGACUUCUGCUGAGUACAGAAUUGAGGUUUCAGGUAAGUGAGGCUUCGCCAGCUUUCCAAAAUGUCUUUCCAAAUUAGUAACAACUAAAUAAAUGCUCAUCUUUGCAUUUGGUGAAGGUUAUACUUGGCAUUUAUAAACAUCAAUUUUCAUUUGCCAUUUUAUCAGAAGCGAUUUAAUAUUGCAGGAUCUUUCUGCAAGUCUUAGAAUCAAGUUUAAGUGGAACUUUUUGGAAUGGGUUUGUUUUAUCUGAGUACUAUUUAUCCCUAUUUUCAGGUCAUAUAUUGGACUGCAGAGGUCCCAGUACAGAUCCAUUUUUUUAUCGAUGGAUGGACUUUCCUCUCUCUCACUCUUUUGUAACUUGUGAAGCAAAAAACAGAAAGCCAGGCAUUGGUACCAGGACAUUUCAUUCUGGAACACUACAGAAACAGCCUCCCACACAAUAAAUCAUGGGAGAACUGAAUGCAAGGUGGGAGGGUGGAGAGAGUACUUCCUUUGGCCCACAUGAGGAGGAAAGAGCUGAUUAGCAGGGCCGAUGGAAUACAGGACUCAUCCGACUUGGUACAUGCAGAUAAGAUCUGACACUGCAAGACCUCAGACUACCUGGCUGAGGGAGAACAGUCAGCCAGCAAGAAGCACCAAGUGAUGGGAAAGGAAAAUUUGGCAAUGGUCAGGGAAGAUUCUACUUGCAAAAGAAAAAGAAAAGUCUCCUUUGGAUUAUGAGAGCCAGGUCAUGGCUGAUUUACAGACAGCAGCAAAAAAGCCAUCUGAAGGCCAGUCCAACCAACUCUGCAGACCUCAGCGCUGUGCCUUGGCUCAGCAAGCCCAUGCCAUAGGUAUACAAGAUUUACAACAAACUGGAAAUACCCAGCAUCUGCUCAGCAAUAACAAGAUCAGCAGCCAUAUGUGAUUUGAAGCUAAGGCCUAAAGAAGCCCCACCUUUCUCCCCCCAAACAGGUUUUACAAACUCUGUUUCCAAAGGAGAGGGAUUUUACAAUGACAACAACAGCAGGAAUGAGGAUAUAACUAAGCAAAGAGAUUGGACAACUGAGAAUAUAAUUUGCAAUAAAAGAGCUUAUGAGCUACUUCCAAUGGCAUUUACAGAAUCUCCGCUCAGGGAUUCUUACACUGAUGUCAAUUCACAGAUCAUACACUACAGACAAACUCCCCUUAAAAAGUUUGCAUAUACAGAUGUUUUAAAAUACUUAAUGACAUAGUUUCAGGCUGUAUAUAA